UGACCCUCCUUCUGCAUGUGGUCAGGAGGUCAGCGGUAGCCUUGAUGCUAUGUCGCAAUGCCUACGCCAUUCACCUCACUUCGUCUCGUCACACUGGCAUUUUAUCAUCUCGCAUCACCACAAGAAGGGGUUUGGGGGAUGAAGGGCAACGGCAUCGCUCUGAUUUGGGGAAACGCAAAGGCACGGCCCUCAUGAACAAUUUAACAUCAGCUCUUGUAACUGGAAGAACAGUUAAAAAAUUAUAUAUUCACUAACUUCACAAUGAUGCAAUUCCACGUUUUAUGUCAUCGGAUUAUUUGGCCCCAUUGAUCCCACAGUGUAGAGUUAUCCUGUGACAAAUACCUACAGAUGACCAUCUCUCAGCGUUGCCCCGAGAAUCACGGGAGCAUCUAUGACUACUUCGAAAACUGUAAAAGCUUCUGGGAACGCUGGGUGUGUUCACUGAGGGAGGAAAAAUGUGAGAUGACAGCCAUCAGGGUGACAGAAGUAACCCUGGGGCACAAAAGCCAGUGGCCAAGAGAUGAUGCAGGCAGACAUAACUGGUAGACAAACAAGACGGUAAUUACAUGUCCUCUCUAGACCUUACCUCCUGAAUACGGUCUCUGGGAAAACUGUGAUGGAGACAUCUUUGGUCCAAAACAAAGAAAUGGAAACAAAAGCAGAGAAAGACACAAACAAAC